AUUUACAGUCUCAUUUUAUGGAGGGGGGUGACAUCGCUGAUGACUGAAAAUGAAACUCAACACGACUGAACGGUAAAAGUUGUUGGUGAUGUCGGUCGUGGUCAGAAAGGUUUCAUAACGGUUAGAGUUCAGUGUUGACGAGGAGAAAUCGUCUCAUACUGAGACAUCAUCCGUGGAGCGAAAGCACGACUGCAACUGUUCAAAUCGCUGACCACACUCUGAGUCUGUGUGUGUUUAUGUUGGUCCGGUCUUACGUCGCCUUACGCCGUCGUGACGUCACCUCAACGAUGCGGAAGUUGGAGUCACCGUGGAGAAGGUAAACUGAUGUGAAGCAGCCUGCUGUAAAAUAUACAAAGGACCAUCAGGAAAGAAAGAAAAGAGGAAGAAUUCAUCCGGGGAAUAUCGGGCACUGCAGACACCUCUCCUCCCGCAGCUCGGACUCCGUAACCGGCAUGGGCUGGAACUCAGUCCGCCGUUACUAUGUCACAUAGCCGCCACAUCUGUCCUGUUCAUGGACGGUGUUAACGGGACCGUUACCGUCUAACGGGGGCACCGGGACACUCAAAGCCCACCCCGGUACUGCUGAGGAAUUUCGUGAGACUUUAGGAAACUAUCAGACCCAUCCCAACCCAUCCCUGUGUGAGGUAAGUGACCAGCCAGCAAAUCUCUGUAGAAAAAUGUGUAAUUUUAUAUUUUAAUAAAGAAUUUGAUAAAUUGCAGAAAGAAAACAUAUUUAUUUAGGUCAUCUCCAGACUGACGGGUGUAUUGUUGUAAAUUCGGCAUCAAUAUUGUAACAUAGAACAAUCGUUUCCUUCCAUAAUGCUCCUUCUUUUACAAGCCUCCAUCUGUUAGCGAUUGUCUUUUAAACGGUGCUCCUCCUGCUGAGCAGUAACCAAGAGCGUAGCAGGCUCUUUGAAAAGUCUACAUUUCAGAGUUAGCAGUGCUUCUGAGUCAUUCAUAUACAAGCCGUUGUGCAAAGUAUGAUCUCACCGUGUAUAAAAGACCUUAAGACACACAUGUGACUGUGUUUUCUGUAGAGAACAGGCAGGGGAUUGAGUAAACUGAUGUAUUUCUGAAAGCAGUUCAGGCGUGCAGGCUGCUCCCGGGGAACAGCGGUUAUCAGAGCGUGAAUAAGCAAGAGAAGCGGAGCUUUGUGUCAAAUCAUACCAGUGUUUCCUACACCUAAACACUGUGAACGAGCAGUUUGCAUGUUUUUAAUACAGUUUUAGAGACUAAAUUUAAGAUAUGGGGCUUUAAAGGGUCUGCGCUGAGCGUCUUGUGCUGGAGAGCCUGGGUCAGGAUGAGGGGGAGGGAUGUGGAGGUCAAGCUGCAGCCUUCGGAUGACGGGACUCUUUCUGACUGAACUGUCACAGUCAUGCAGAAAACACGCAGCAGGCCUGAUAAACACACACUUAAAUACAAAUGAAAUGCUCCAAAUUAGAGUGUGUUUGUGUGCUUUAUGAAACCAUGCCAGGUCAUGUGAGGCUGAAGCCAAAAAUACUGAAUAUAAUCACUGAUCAGUCUGCUGAUCAUUUCAUCUUUGAUGUUGUAAAUUUAUAUCAGCUGGUCUAAAACAAACAAACAAACAAACAAACAAACAAACAAACAAACAAACAAACAAACAAACAUUAUAGAUUACCAUAGGCUGAAAACUUGUCUUGAAGAACUGUUUUUUAUAUUCCUCUUUUUUUCAAUAACUCAAUUUAUUCAAUCAAUUACAAAUAAUAUGUUGGACUAAAUCUGCAACAGUUUCAUAGUUUCUAACUUUCAGAAAAUAAAGAUAGAUCAUUUGUACUGACACCAAGAUCUGAAUGACAACUGAUGAGGAAUGGAGGAUGUGGACCUAUUAAAUGUUUAGUCUGUCAAAUACUUAACAACCCAAAGUAACUCCUUCAGAUUUAUUCUGAUGUUGAAAUGACAAGAAAAAAUCCCAACUUUCUGGAAUAAAUGUCAAAGAUAAGAUGUACAUGUUUAGAGUAUUUGUUAGUAAAAUGACUGAAUAAAUCAACAUUUGUUGUGAAAGUUUUGCAUUAACUUAUAGGGAUUAAAUGACUAGUCACUGUUGAAGUACAUUGUGAGAAGCAUGUUUAAGUUUAUUGUCAAAAAAUCACAUUAAGAAUAAUUAUUUUUAAAUACAAACAACAGUCUAGCUCAGACUGUGUUUUUUUAAAACUUCUUUUAAAGUCCUGUGAGUCAGGAAAUGGUCCCGAUCAUCUCUGAGGAUUUAAUUUUUAACAUUUUUUGUUGUAAUCUGACUGACAAUUUCUGUGUUUUACAGCCAAUUUAAAUGUCACUGAGAGAGUUUAAAACUGCUUUAUUGAGUCAGUGCAAAAACAUAAAUACAGGUAUGUUCAUUAAACUCAGCUGCACACUCAGAGACACUUUUACUGCUCUGUUUCUUUUUCUGGUGAUUGAUUUCUUUACUGGCAGCCAAAAAUGCCUACAGCAGCAACAACAACUAUGGCAGCUGUUUACGUUUAAAUCUCUAGAUUAUGACCUAUAUGAUCAAAGGUCAGACUAUUUUGGUCUUAAAACACUCGUCCUAAUGUUUGUUGAGUAUGAGCCCUUCAGUCUGAGACAGUCCCGGAAUAAUUGGAUAUGAUGAUUUGCCUCUUCCACCGAACCCCACCAUCUACCGCACACCCACCCUGUGUCCUUGUAUUGUUCCUGGUCUGGUGUCACUGAGCUGCUACUGCUAACCUUUAGAUCCAUAACUGGGUGAAAAAUAAUUCACAUUCAUUUUCAAUAGGAUCUCAUGGGAACCUUUUGAUUCGAUUCAGCUGUAGCUUUCAGGAAUAUAUUUACAGUGGAGCACACUGAUUAUUCCAGAAGGGUCACCCCUCAUGAAUAGGAUAUACACAGUAAGAUCAAACACCUGAAAGCAUUGCCUUCAUUUUGACCUAUGAAACAUUUUGUAUCAUCAUAUCCAUACAUUGAACCAGCAUAUUUGUUCAAGUUUGUUUAUACUUUGUAAUUUUUGUAACAUUUCAUGUUUAAUUUUAAAGGCAAAGUUUACAGGAGUCAAACUCCUUGUAUGUGUACACAUACUUGACCCAUCAAGCUGAUUUGGAUUCACACGUUCAUGAAUGUGUUCACUUGUCAGUCUUGACGAUUGUUUGAAACAGUUUGUGUUAUUAUUUAUCUUUGUGUUAUUAUUUAUCAACCAGCUUUCGAACUAUCCACUCUGCUGUGUUUAACACUUGACUCUGAUUGGUCAAAAACCAGUGAAAACAGUUAAUAACUCUGAACAGCAAAGGUGUUGUGAGGGACAGCCUGAUGAUGACACAUGUCAGACUCAUCAAAUCAAUCUAUAGGGAGGAGCGUUGAUGCUGAACUGUUCAUGAUCCCGCCUCAUCCUGUUGACAGUAUGAUAAAAUGUUACUUCCAGACAGCAAAGCUAGACAACCUGGAGGUGAUUUUAGAGACCAGAACAGACACAAACUUUGACACUGAGGUCUUUGGCAGAGUCAGGGGACUGGGUCAGUGAGGAGGAACUGUUAGUAGCAAAGUUCCUUUGUGUAGGUGCUGCUGUGGUUUUUCAGAAUGAUAACAGAUGCAAAUGUUAAAUUUGAUAUUAAUUUCACCUCUAAGUUUGCUGAUGAGAACAAUAUUUCUAUGAAAGUGCUAUCACCCAUCAAGACAGAGGGACUUUUUAAUUACCUGUGUAGAACAUUUCUAAAUCAAUAAAACCAUAAUCCACAAUAAUAUGGACUAUAGUUUGUCCGUGGUUAUGCCAAAUGGAAUCCUGACAGGAUGAGAAUAGACCCUGACAUAAGGAGGACAGGAUUCAUCUCUGUGUCAGAUGAAUUACAGAUCGGCAUUUCAAGCCAAAAUACUGUUGUAAAAACAAUGGUAAUUUAUCCAUCCAUCCAUCCAUCCAUCCAUCUGUCUGUCAUCAAUCAAUCCAUCCACUUUGGUGAUCAUUUUGUUUCCCAUGGUCAUAAUGAUAUGAUGAUCAGACUGAUUAUUGUGCUGCCUGAUGUGUUUCCACCACCGACUUCUUUUAAUCUCCUAGUUCCCUCUGAGAAAGGAUAGAGAGGCCAAAACAAGUCCACACAGGCUUUGGUUUGUUUUUUUGUUUGUUUUGUCAUUUUUAUCUGAAUCAGAUUUUCUUUUUGCUCUCAGACUAUCUGUUGUCAGCUGUCCUGUCUGACUCCACCUCCAGUAACUGAGGUACUGCAGAACACACACAAACACGCAAAUAAACACACACUCACACAUUCACAUACACAGUCCACAUGGAUGCUUGCUUCAGUUUGCAGACUGAUGUGUUUUUGUUGUUUGGAGGUAUUUCUGCACAGUCCAGACGGUAGGUGGGGAAGGGGGAUAUAAAAUAAAAUAAGAAGAACUUUAUUUAUCCCCUGGGGGGAAGUUCAAUGGGAGAGCAGGGCCUUAUGGGUAAAUAAAAAAGAUCACACAGGUAUGAUCUAAACUCAGACUGUUCUGUUCAUGCUCCAUCCUCAUCUAAAGUGGAAAUGUUCUGGAUUCACUGCUGGAUCAGCUUCUGUCUAACAGGAAUAACAACAACAACAACAACAACAACAACAGAAAUAAUCUGUGAGAGUGGGGCUGACUGUGAAAUCAUGUGACCAGUAGCAUGUUCAAACUUGCUGAAGACUGGGAUCCUGUAAGACUGGACACAUGAUUGGAUUUUUAAAACCAAUUGAAUUGGACCUCUAGUAAGGGAUGACCAAACAACACUAAAGAACUCUGAAAAAUAGCCCAGAAUCAAAAGAAAAGACUUCUGCAGGAGUAAACACUCCAUAAUCUGUUGCCUACAGCAGGAGGAAGAAAAUGUUUAAUAAUGCGAAUAAGUACUAAUGAGAAUAAGCAUCUAUAAACAAAGAACUAAAAUAUUAUUAACAAUGUGAACAUUAAACCAAAAACUGACUUUCCCACUGUUAUUACAAACAGUGAACUUACCACAGACACCGGACUAUCCAACUGUUAUUACAGACACUGAACUCACCACAGACACUGGACUAUCCCACUAGUAUCACAGACACUGGACUAUCCCACUGUUAUUACAGACACUGAACUCACCACAGACACUGGACUAUCCCACUAGUAUUACAGACACUGAACUCACCACAGACACUGGACUAUCCCACUAGUAUUACAGACAGUGAACUCACCACAGACACUGGACUAUCCCACUAGUAUCACAGACACUGGACUAUCCCACUAGUAUUACAGACAGUGAACUCACCACAGACACUGGACUCUCCCAAAGGACUAUCCCACUGUUAUUACUGACAGUGAACUCACCACAGACACUGGACUAUCCCACUGUUAUUACAGACAGUGAACUCACCACAGACACUGGACUAUCUCACUAGUAUCACAGACACUGGACUAUCCCACUAGUAUUACAGACAGUGAACUCACCACAGACACUGGACUCUCCCAAAGGACUAUCCCACUGUUAUUACUGACAGUGAACUCACCACAGACAUUUGACUAUCCCACACAGACAGUGGACUAUCCCACUGUUAUUACUGACAGUGAACUCACCACAGACACUGGACUCUCCCACUAGUAUUACAGACACUGAAUUCACCACAGACACCGAACUAUCCCACUAGUAUUACAGCCACUGAACUCACCACAGACACUGGACUAUCCCACUGUUAUUACAGACAGUGAACUCACCACAGACACUGGACUAUACCACUGUUAUUACUGACAGGGAACUCACCACAGACAUUUGACUAUCCCACUGUUAUUACAGACAGUGAACUCACCACAGACACUGGACUAUCCCACUAGUAUUACAGACACUGGACUCACCAAGGACACUGGUCUAUUAUAAUUGUCCGACCUCUGUUGUGUUUACUGUGAUGUCUUGUUUGUGGUGCGGUCAGAGGAUGUCAUCUGUUUAAAGUGGAUGUUUUUAUUCCAUGUUGUUUUCAGCUCUUUAUCCUAUAGUGAGUUUUUCAGCUUUUCUCUCACCUUAUCAGGGAUCCAGGUUUUAGAGGGUCAGCCCAACACCCCCUCCCCUUUUUGAUAUGCUGCCAUCUUUUGCACCUGAUUGGCUGGAGAAAGAAAUGUCUCAGGGCAGCAUAGGAUGGGAUUGGCUGGCAGAUAGCCAAGAAGACAGGGCAGGGACAUCAGCUGAUUGAUCAAUCUCAGAAGAUGAGAAGAAGGGGGCGGUGUGAGGAGGGAGAGGAGAGGAAAGGGAAGGGGAGGGGAGAGGAGCAGGAAGAGGAGGAGCCAGAGGAGGAGACGCUGAGUGAGUCUGUAAAUCCAGGAUGAGCCGGCUCUGCUGCAGACAACAAGUGUUCAUGCUUAGAGCAAAGAGAGGAUAAAACAAGCCUACUUUACAGCAGACAGAGAGAAAAAGAGAUAGAGACAGAAGAAGAAGGAAGUUACCACGGCAACCCGGGGGACGUUGCUGCAGCAACCAGGACACCGGGACACUCAGGUAAGGGAACAGCUGAUGUGUUCGUGUCAGAACAUGUGUCUGCAUGUGUGUGGUGAUUUCAAGUCAGUGUGUGUGUGUAUGUAUGUAUGUAUGUAUGUGACUGUGUGCAUGAAUGUGUGUUUGUGUAUGUGAGUGUGUGCUGGUGGAUUGAGCAGAACAUACUAGGAGGGGGGAGGAGGAUGUCAGGGGAAUCCUAUUAGCGGAGUCCAGGAAAAGUAGGGCUAACUAAGUUCUUAUCAGUGUCACACACACACACACACACACACACACACACACACACACACACACACACACACACACACACACACACACACACACACACACACACACACACACACAACACUAUGUACUAUCCUAACACUCGCUGCCAGAACUCUGUGUUUGUGUGACGGUGUGCGUGUGUUAUAAAAACAGUAUGAGCGCUCAGAGUUCAGGUAGGUAGGUGUGUGAUUGAAGUGUUACCUGUACAGUGAGAGCAGAGUUCAGUGUAGAUAAAUUGUGUGAGCUGGUGCUGCCCCUGAAACCUGCAUUUAUUCAGUUUCAAGUAUGAGGGUUAUUAAGUUAAAUAAACUGGGUAAAUAAUGACCCAUAAUUGUGAUUUGGAUAUUAUAUUGUAUUAUGUACAUGAGUAAUUUAUCAUCAGGCAACCACAAGUAGAGAGAGGAAAGCAGGGAGAGGAGCAGGAGGAGGUAGGGGUGUGUUUCUGUUUGAGUCUGAAAAGCAGAGGGACAGAUCUAGCAUAAGGAGCUCUCUCUUUCUUUGCUUUGUCAGAGUGAUUUCAGCUGAGGUUCCAAUGCUGCUGAUUCGUUGUCUUCCUCACCUUUUCCAAAUGGAUUAUUUCCAUUGCUUUAUUCAUCCAUUCUUUGUAAGUUGGUGUGUUAAACUUCAGAGAGAUGGCAGAAAUUAUGUUGGCACUGCUAUGCUUCUUAUGCCAAUCACUUGUUGUGUUUAUCUAAGGGUUUGAAUGAUCAUCUGCUGCAGUCACAUGGUUUGUCACAGAUUCAGUCACAGGUUUUCAGUAACAGCAAAAAACAACUGUGUGAGUGAGCAGUGCUUCACAGUCAGAGAUGAAAACAUAACCGUGUGAAAAUUCAACAUCUGCAGACCUGAUUAAAAUUUAGAUUUUAUCUCUCCGGCAUCUGUGUCUAAAACAGAUCUCAUUAUUAUACAGGCAUCAGAACAAGUAAGGCAGUAUGAGUGAGGGCUGGUGUCAGACCAGGGGAGGGUACUGAGUAUAGGGGCUCUCACGUUAGAGGUUGUAGUGACUAUGCUGAACUGAAAUUUAGUCAUUGUGUGGGGGCGGGAGUGAGGUGUUUUUGACGCGCUUCUUGUACAAUCCAAUGUCCAAUCCAAG